rnacentral:rRNA from 1 species
AUGGCGAUCCUCGGGGAGCUCGGGACCGAGAUCCUCAUCCCCGUCUGCGGGGUCGUCGGCAUCGUCUUCGCCGUCGCGCAGUGGUUCAUCGUCUCCAAGGUCAAGGUCACCCCCGGCGCCGCCUCCGCCGCCGGCGGCGGCAAGAACGGCUACGGCGACUACCUCAUCGAGGAGGAGGAGGGCCUCAACGACCACAACGUCGUCGUCAAGUGCGCCGAGAUCCAGACCGCCAUCUCUGAAGGAGCAACCUCAUUUCUUUUCACCAUGUACCAGUAUGUUGGUAUGUUCAUGGUCGUCUUUGCUGCGGUUAUCUUCGUCUUCCUUGGGUCGAUUGAGGGAUUCAGCACAAAGGGCCAGCCCUGCACCUACAGCACGGGCACCUGCAAGCCAGCUCUCUACACCGCUCUCUUCAGCACUGCGUCUUUCUUGCUUGGAGCCAUCACAUCUCUGGUGUCUGGUUUCCUUGGGAUGAAGAUCGCCACAUACGCCAAUGCCAGGACGACCCUGGAAGCAAGGAAGGGUGUUGGGAAGGCAUUUAUCACCGCUUUCCGCUCUGGUGCAGUCAUGGGCUUCUUGUUGUCAUCAAGUGGGCUUGUGGUUCUUUACAUCACCAUCAAUGUGUUCAAGAUGUACUACGGUGAUGACUGGGAAGGUCUUUUUGAGUCCAUCACUGGUUAUGGUCUGGGUGGGUCUUCCAUGGCUCUAUUCGGAAGAGUUGGUGGAGGUAUCUACACCAAGGCUGCUGACGUGGGUGCUGACCUUGUUGGCAAAGUUGAGAGGAACAUUCCUGAAGAUGACCCAAGGAACCCAGCUGUAAUUGCUGACAACGUCGGUGACAAUGUUGGUGAUAUUGCUGGGAUGGGAUCAGAUCUCUUUGGUUCAUACGCAGAAUCGUCCUGCGCUGCUCUUGUUGUUGCUUCUAUCUCAUCUUUUGGAAUCAACCAUGAUUUCACUGCGAUGUGCUACCCACUGCUCGUGAGCUCUGUUGGCAUCAUUGUUUGCUUGCUCACCACCCUGUUUGCGACUGAUUUCUUUGAGAUCAAGGCUGCAAGCGAAAUUGAACCUGCUCUGAAGAAGCAGCUCAUCAUCUCCACUGCUUUAAUGACUAUCGGUGUUGCGGUGAUCAGCUGGUUGGCUCUCCCAGCUAAGUUCACCAUCUUCAACUUCGGUGCUCAGAAGGACGUGUCCAACUGGGGCCUGUUCUUCUGUGUGGCAGUUGGUCUGUGGGCUGGUCUGAUUAUUGGGUUUGUGACCGAAUACUACACUAGCAAUGCCUACAGCCCUGUGCAAGAUGUUGCCGAUUCCUGCAGAACUGGUGCUGCCACCAACGUCAUCUUCGGUCUUGCCCUUGGUUACAAGUCAGUCAUCAUCCCAAUUUUCGCUAUUGCUGUCAGCAUCUACGUCAGCUUCUCUAUUGCUGCAAUGUACGGCAUUGCAAUGGCUGCUCUUGGCAUGCUUAGCACAAUGGCAACUGGUCUUGCUAUCGAUGCUUAUGGUCCCAUUAGUGACAAUGCUGGUGGAAUUGCUGAGAUGGCUGGCAUGAGCCACAGAAUCCGUGAGAGGACUGAUGCUCUUGAUGCUGCUGGCAACACAACCGCUGCUAUUGGAAAGGGUUUCGCCAUUGGAUCAGCUGCUCUUGUGUCCCUGGCACUUUUUGGUGCCUUCGUCAGCAGAGCUGGUGUGAAGGUCGUUGAUGUCCUAUCUCCCAAGGUGUUCAUUGGCCUGAUUGUCGGAGCCAUGCUUCCGUACUGGUUCUCUGCCAUGACCAUGAAGAGUGUUGGAAGUGCUGCUCUCAAGAUGGUUGAGGAGGUCCGCAGGCAGUUCAAUACCAUCCCUGGACUGAUGGAGGGAACUGCCAAGCCCGACUAUGCCACCUGUGUCAAGAUCUCCACUGAUGCUUCCAUCAGGGAGAUGAUUCCUCCGGGUGCUUUGGUCAUGCUCACCCCCCUCAUUGUCGGAACCCUCUUUGGCGUGGAAACCCUGUCUGGUGUUCUUGCUGGUGCCCUUGUUUCUGGAGUACAGUACAUUGAGGCCGGCAACAGCGAGCACGCGAGGUCCCUUGGCCCCAAGGGUUCAGACUGCCACAAGGCGGCCGUGAUCGGCGACACCAUCGGAGACCCCCUCAAGGACACCUCAGGCCCGUCGCUCAACAUCCUCAUCAAGCUGAUGGCCGUCGAGUCCCUCGUGUUCGCGCCCUUCUUCGCCACGUACGGAGGUGUGCUGUUCAAGUACAUCUAG